AGUGAACGCUGGCGGUAGGCCUAACACAUGCAAGUCGAACGGCAGCACAGUAAGAGCUUGCUCUUACGGGUGGCGAGUGGCGGACGGGUGAGGAAUACAUCGGAAUCUACUUUUUCGGGGGGGAUAACGUAGGGAAACUUACGCUAAUACCGCAUACGACCUACGGGUGAAAGCAGGGGAUCUUCGGACCUUGCGCGAUUGAAUGAGCCGAUGUCGGAUUAGCUAGUUGGCGGGGUAAAGGCCCACCAAGGCGACGAUCCGUAGCUGGUCUGAGAGGAUGAUCAGCCACACUGGAACUGAGACACGGUCCAGACUCCUACGGGAGGCAGCAGUGGGGAAUAUUGGACAAUGGGCGCAAGCCUGAUCCAGCCAUGCCGCGUGGGUGAAGAAGGCCUUCGGGUUGUAAAGCCCUUUUGUUGGGGAAGAAAAGCAGCAGGUUAAUACCCCGCUGUUCUGACGGUACCCAAAGAAUAAGCACCGGCUAACUUCGUG
rnacentral:rRNA from 1 species